CAGACUCAGCAAAGCUCCCUCCCCGGGC
rnacentral:sRNA from 1 species